rnacentral:rRNA from 1 species
AACGAACGCUGGCGGCAGGCCUAACACAUGCAAGUCGAGCGCGCCCUUCGGGGUGAGCGGCGGACGGGUGAGUAACGCGUGGAAACGUGCCUUUCACUACGGAAUAGCUUUUGGAAACGAAAGGUAAUACCGUAUACGCCCUCCGGGGGAAAGAUUUAUCGGUGAAAGAUCGGUCCGCGUUAGAUUAGCUAGUUGGUGAGGUAACGGCUCACCAAGGCUACGAUCUAUAGCUGGUCUGAGAGGAUGAUCAGCCACACUGGGACUGAGACACGGCCCAGACUCCUACGGGAGGCAGCAGUGGGGAAUAUUGCACAAUGGGCGCAAGCCUGAUGCAGCCAUGCCGCGUGAAUGAUGAAGGCCUUAGGGUUGUAAAAUUCUUUCGCCAAGGAUGAUAAUGACAGUACUUGGUAAAGAAGCCCCGGCUAACUUCGUGCCAGCAGCC